GAUGAACGCUGGCGGCGUGCCUAAUACAUGCAAGUCGAGCGAACAGACGAGGAGCUUGCUUCUCUGACGUUAGCGGCGGACGGGUGAGUAACACGUGGAUAACCUACCUAUAAGACUGGGAUAACUUCGGGAAACCGUAGCUAAUACCGGAUAAUAUAUUGAACCGCAUGGUUCAAUAGUGAAAGACGGUCUUGCUGUCACUUAUAGAUGGAUCCGCGCUGCAUUAGCUAGUUGGUAAGGUAACGGCUUACCAAGGCAACGAUGCGUAGCCGACCUGAGAGGGUGAUCGGCCACACUGGAACUGAGACACGGUCCAGACUCCUACGGGAGGCAGCAGUAGGGAAUCUUCCGCAAUGGGCGAAAGCCUGACGGAGCAACGCCGCGUGAGUGAUGAAGGUCUUCGGAUCGUAAAACUCUGUUAUUAGGGAAGAACAAAUGUGUAAGUAACUAUGCACGUCUUGACGGUACCUAAUCAGAAAGCCACGGCUAACUACGUG
rnacentral:rRNA from 1 species